GAUGAACGCUGGCGGCGUGCCUAAUACAUGCAAGUCGAGCGAACAGAUGAGGAGCUUGCUCCUCUGACGUUAGCGGCGGACGGGUGAGUAACACGUGGAUAACCUACCUAUAAGACUGGGAUAACUUCGGGAAACCGGAGCUAAUACCGGAUAAUAUAUUGAACCGCAUGGUUCAAUAGUGAAAGACGGUUUUGCUGUCACUUAUAGAUGGAUCCGCGCCGCAUUAGCUAGUUGGUAAGGUAACGGCUUACCAAGGCAACGAUGCGUAGCCGACCUGAGAGGGUGAUCGGCCACACUGGAACUGGGACACGGUCCAGACUCCUACGGGGGGCAGCAGUGGGAAAUCUUCCGCAAUGGGCGAAAGCCUGACGAAGCAACGCCGCGGGAGUGAUGAAGGUCUUCGGAUCGUAAAACUCUGUUAUUGGGAAAGAACAAAUGUGUAAGAAACUAUGCACGUCUGGACGGUACCUAAGAAGAAGGCCACGGCUAACUACGU
rnacentral:rRNA from 1 species